rnacentral:rRNA from 1 species
ACGCGAAGAACCUUACCCAGGCUUGAACAGCGAGUGACCACUCAUGAAAGUGAGCUUCCGCAAGGACACUCGUAGAGGUGCUGCAUGGCUGUCGUCAGCUCGUGUCGUGAGAUGUUGGGUUAAGUCCCGCAACGAGCGCAACCCUUGUUUGCUGUUGCCAUCAGGUUAUGCUGGGCACUCUGCAAAGACCGCCGGUGAUAAACCGGAGGAAGGUGGGGAUGACGUCAAGUCAGCAUGGCCUUUAUGUCUGGGGCUACACACGUGCUACAAUGGCCGGUACAAACCGUCGCGAGCCCGCGAGGGGGAGCUAAUCGGAGAAAGCCGGUCUCAGUUCGGAUAGCAGGCUGCAACUCGCCUGCUUGAAGUUGGAAUCGCUAGUAAUCGCGGAUCAGCACGCCGCGGUGAAUACGUUCCCGGGCCUUGUA